CGAAAGUCACUUGGGAGGGCGAUGAAGGAAAGGAGAGGAGAGAGCGCGCGAAAAGGAAUAAGGGGACACAUUUUCGUUUCCGAUAAGACGCGCAAGCAGACAGCACCGUUCCCGGAGUGCCUAUGUCUUUGGACGAGAAGCCCACCCCCCGUCGCGAAACCGCCCGAUUAAUAUGCUCGAUAUUUCUUCUCUCGGGAUGGACUGCACGGGACGGCUGAUGAUAAGAUCGACGGACAGAGAGAUACGCCUGGCUGAAGUCAGCCCCCGACUUUUCUGCGUCCUGUGUAUUAAAGCCCGAGGCUCGUGCGAGAACACACGAGGAAACACGUAACGCUGCGUUUAAUCUCGUGUCCUAGUGUAGAUAGGCUUUAAGAUCGCGAGCGAUUAGACAUCGCGCUUAGCCAAAGGGCUUUCUCUCGCUGCGUGCAUACAAUUGCAACGACAGACACGUGUCGCAGAGAGACGUGCGUGCACGUGGAGUAAUGCAUGUGCGACUCGCACCGCUAAUAUCGCGCGAACAUUCGAUUCGCGCGUCGCGUGUGCGAUGAUCGCACAUCGCUCGCGUGCACCACCGGCGAAGAGGAGAGAAGGUGCACGUAACAUAAUGCGUCG